rnacentral:rRNA from 1 species
GCCAGACUCCUACGGGAGGCAGCAGUGAGGAAUAUUGGGCAAUGGAGGCAACUCUGACCCAGCCAUGCCGCGUGAGUGAAGAAGGUUUUCGGAUUGUAAAGCUCUUUCGGAUGUGACGAUGAUGACGGUAGCAUCUAAAGAAGCCCCGGCUAACUACGUGCCAGCAGCCGCGGUAAUACGUAGGGGGCAAGCGUUAUCCGGAUUUACUGGGUGUAAAGGGAGCGUAGACGGCGAAGAAAGUCUGAAGUGAAAGCCCGCGGCUCAACCGCGGAACUGCUUUGGAAACUUUUUUGCUGGAGUACCGGAGAGGUAAGCGGAAUUCCUAGUGUAGCGGUGAAAUGCGUAGAUAUUAGGAGGAACACCAGUGGCGAAGGCGGCUUACUGGACGGUAACUGACGUUGAGGCUCGAAAGCGUGGGGAGCAAACAGGAUUAGAUACCCGGGUAC